UUCACCGGAAAUUAAAAAAAAAAGAGCCUGAGGAGUAUAAUAUAGUAAAGAAAUUGGAAAGAGUCGGCGAAUUAUAUGGCACCUCUAUAAAUCUAAGUUUGCUCUCGGUUUGGAUGGCUCAUAUUUUUAUAUGUACAUGGAACAACGAAAUGGGAGGGCACCUGAGAGUGUCCAUCAUGCUCCACGCUUUGCACUAAUUUGUCCGUUUCGAAUACACGCC
rnacentral:lncRNA from 1 species